ACAUCCAGAGAACUUAGCAGAGAUGCUUUGGUGCCUUCGGGAACUCUGAGACAGGUGCUGCAUGGCUGUCGUCAGCUCGUGUUGUGAAAUGUUGGGUUAAGUCCCGCAACGAGCGCAACCCUUAUCCUUUGUUGCCAGCGGCUCGGCCGGGAACUCAAAGGAGACUGCCGGUGAUAAACCGGAGGAAGGUGGGGAUGACGUCAAGUCAUCAUCGGCCCUUACGGCCAGGGCUACACACGUGCUACAAUGGCGCAUACAAAGAGAAGCGACCUCGCGAGAGCAAGCGGACCUCAUAAAGUGCGUCGUAGUCCGGAUUGGAGUCUGCAACUCGACUCCACGAAGUCGGAAUCGCUAGUAAUCGUAGAUCAGAAUGCUACGGUGAAUACGUUCCCGGGCCUUGUACACACCGCCCGUCACACCAUGGGAGUGGGUUGCAAAAGAAGUAGGUAGCUUAACCUUCGGGAGGGCGCUUACCACUUUGUGAUUCAUGACUGGGGUGAAGUCGUAACAAGGUAGGCGUAGCGAG
rnacentral:rRNA from 1 species